rnacentral:rRNA from 1 species
UGAGUAACACGUAAGCAACCUGCCUAUCAGAGGGGAACAACAGUUAGAAAUGACUGCUAAUACCGCAUAUACCUAAGUACCACAUGGUACAAUAGGGAAAGGAGCAAUCCGCUGAUAGAUGGGCUUGCGUCUGAUUAGAUAGUUGGUGGGGUAACGGCCUACCAAGUCGACGAUCAGUAGCCGGACUGAGAGGUUGAACGGCCACAUUGGGACUGAGAUACGGCCCAGACUCCUACGGAAGGCAGCAG